GCUCCUGUAGUGUAGUGGCCAAUCAUUCGAGCCUCUCGAGUUCGAUACCCGGGUUCAAAUCCCGGCGGGAGCGCCA
rnacentral:tRNA from 2 species